CGGGUGUACUCAUAGCACGGUCCCAAAAUGGCCAAUCUAUUAACAGCACACCCAAAUGGAAUCCGGGGUUAGUCUUUAUAGGAGACAAAACACAUCUGUCUUCUGUGGUGUCAUGUUCUGUAUAU